rnacentral:rRNA from 1 species
UACGUAGGUGGCGAGCGUUGUCCGGAUUUACUGGGCGUAAAGAGCGCGCAGGCGGUCGUGCAAGUCGCGUGUGAAAGCCCCCGGCUCAACUGGGGAGGGUCACGCGAUACUGCUCGACUCGAAGGCAGGAGAGGGAAGCGGAAUUCCCGGUGUAGUGGUGAAAUGCGCAGAUAUCAGGAGGAACGCCGGUGGCGAAGGCGGUUCUCUGGGAAUAUCCUGACGCUGAGGAGCGAAAGUGUGGGAAGCGAACAGG